GGGGAUUUAGCUAAGUGGCACAGUGCCUGCCUGACAAGCAUGAGGUGGAGAGUUCUAUUCCCA
rnacentral:tRNA from 1 species